CACAGCCCGGCGGACGCGCCUGACCCUGCCGACGGCUUUCCGGCACAAUACGUCCCGGACCGGAGUGAUGUCGGCCGGUCCCGAAUCGGGAAGGGCGGCACUGCGACCCCUCCCUCAGCCUGCUGGGCGGCUGGGGGAGGAUAUGUGACCCGGCCCGCCACAGAAUUGUUUGCAGCGGUCGUGCGGAGAACUCCCAGAACUCGCCGGGACCCUGUCCGCCCUGCUCGGCGGCUCUCCGGGAGCCCCAGAGUCCGCGACGGUGCCGAAGGGCCCUCUCCUAGAUCUCUGGGCUCUGAGGUCACCCCAUGAACAUCUACGCUCAUCCUGAUGUUGCCUUUAUCUGUUGCAAUCCUAGCUCUGGUUUAAUGCAUGACACCUACUGCCUUUGCAAAGGUCUGAGGAUGGAAAAUCUGAGGCACCUGGGCACACCCCAAGGACUCUGAUAUGGCUCCUCACCCACGAGAGAGAAGGAGGUGCUCCUGGAGGAUGUGUCUGAAAUCACUGUCAAAGAGCUAUAAGUAAAUCCAUGCCACCAGGAGGGAGAGAUUCCAUUAUCAUCAGUGGCAGCUGUGCCAGGCAUGUUCUUCCCCAGAGACACAGACCCUUCUCCUCGGGCACCAACCGUACCCCCUUACCUAAGGAGUCCUUCAGGGCAUGAGUGAGCUUGCACUGCCGGAAGGGGAUGUGGUCCCGCUUCUGGUCCCCGAGGGCAAUGAUGGCCUGCUCCAGGAAUGACAGCGACUUGUUGAUGUACGUGGCUUCCUUCAGGACUCGGCCCUCAGACUACAAACCAAAGCACACCUUGGUUCAGAUGCACCAUCGCCUCCUCUACCGCCAUUAGACUAACUGGAUCAGAAGUGGAUGCCCCAAAAGUAUAUUUCGUCCAUAAUCAGAUAAUUCUUUCUUCUCUCACUACAUUGAGAGAAAAAUCAUAGACGUCCCCUACCUUCUCUUGCUUUUCUAAAACCUAACUAUAUUGUCAUCAUUUUCUUUUAAGGAGCCAUAUAUAUAUAUAUCUGCCUUCCCUUAUUUAUACUAUCACAAAUAAUUACCAUGUGUA